ACAGGGGGUGCAAGCGUUGUUCGGAAUCACUGGGCGUAAAGGGAGCGUAGGCGGAGCCGCAAGUCAGGGGUCAAAUCUCCGGGCUCAACCCGGAACUUGCCUUUGAGACUGCGGUUCUUGAGUAUGGUAGAGGUUAGUGGAAUUUCCGGUGUAGCGGUGGAAUGCGUAGAGAUCGGAAAGAACACCAGAGGCGAAGGCGACUAACUGGACCAAUACUGACGCUGAGGCUCGAAAGCGUGGGGAGCAAACAG
rnacentral:rRNA from 1 species